GCCCUCUUAGCUCAGCUGGUUAGAGCGUCGUACUAAUAGAAUUCUCGGUUCUAUCAAGUCAAUGCGAAGGUCAACAGUUCAAUCCUGUUAGAGGGCA